AUUGAACGCUGGCGGCAGGCCUAACACAUGCAAGUCGAACGAGUGGCGGACGGGUGAGUAUUGUCUGAGAAACUGCCUGGUGGAUGGGGAUAACUACUGGAAACGGUAGCUACUACCGCAUACCAUCAACUGUGCACCGAUGGGAUGAGCUAGUUGGGGGGGUAACGGCUCACCAGGGCGACGAUCCCUAGCUGGUCUGCGAGGAUGACCAGCCACAAUGGAACGGUGACACGGGCCAGACUCCUAGGGGAGGCAGCAGUGGGGAAUAUUGCACAAUGGGGGCAAGCCUGAUGCAGCCAUGCCGCGUGUAUGAAGACGGCCUUCGGGUUGUAAAGUACUUUCAGCGGGGAGGCGUUACCCGCAGAAGAAGCACAGGCUAACUCCGUGCCAGCCGCCGCGGUAAUUC
rnacentral:rRNA from 1 species